rnacentral:rRNA from 1 species
GGCGAACGCUGGCGGCGUGCCUAAUACAUGCAAGUCGAGCGCAGGAAACUGACGGAACUCUUCGGAGGGAAGGCAGUGGAAUGAGCGGCGGACGGGUGAGUAACACGUAAGGAACCUGCCUCAAGGAUUGGGAUAACUCCGAGAAAUCGGAGCUAAUACCGGAUAGUUCAACGGACCGCAUGGUCCGCUGAUGAAAGGCGCUCCGGCGUCACCUUGAGAUGGCCUUGCGGUGCAUUAGCUAGUUGGUGGGGUAACGGCCCACCAAGGCGACGAUGCAUAGCCGACCUGGGAGGGUGAUCGGCCACACUGGGACUGAGACACGGCCCAGACUCCUACGGGAGGCAGCAGUAGGGAAUCUUCCACAAUGGACGAAAGUCUGAUGGAGCAACGCCGCGUGAGUGAUGAAGGUUUUCGGAUCGUAAAACUCUGUUGUAAGGGAAGAACACGUACGAGAGGAAAUGCUCGUACCUUGACGGUACCUUACGAGAAAGCCAUGGCUAACUACGUGCCAGCCGCCGCGGUAACAC